UACGGGGGGGGGCAAGCGUUGUUCGGAAUUACUGGGCGUAAAGGGCUCGUAGGCGGCCAACUAAGUCAGACGUGAAAUCCCUCGGCUUAACCGGGGAACUGCGUCUGAUACUGGAUGGCUCGAGUUUGGGAGAGGGAUGCGGAAUUCCAGGUGUAGCGGUGAAAUGCGUAGAUAUCUGGAGGAACACCGGUGGCGAAGGCGGCAUCCUGGACCAACACUGACGCUGAGGCACGAAGGCCAGGGGAGCAAACGGG
rnacentral:rRNA from 1 species